GGCCUGAUGGUCUAGGAGUAUGAUUCGUUGUUAGGGUUUACGCUUUCGACGAGGUCCCGGGUUCAAUUCCCGGUCAGGCCC